GGUGGCUCAGUUGUAGAGCACUUGCCUUGCAUGCAUGAGGGCCUGGGUUCAAUUCCUCAGCACCA
rnacentral:tRNA from 1 species